UACGUAGGGGGCAAGCGUUGUCCGGAAUCAUUGGGCGUAAAGCGCGCGUAGGCGGCCCGGUCAGUCCGUUGUGAAAGUCAAAGGCUCAACCUUUGAAUGCCGACGGAUACUGCCGGGCUAGAGUACGGAAGAGGCGAGUGGAAUUCCUGGUGUAGCGGUGGAAUGCGCAGAUAUCAGGAGGAACACCUAUAGCGAAGGCAGCUCGCUGGGACGUUACUGACGCUGAGGCGCGAAAGCGUGGGGAGCGAACAGG
rnacentral:rRNA from 1 species